UACGAAGGGGGCUAGCGUUGCUCGGAAUCACUGGGCGUAAAGGGUGCGUAGGCGGGUCUUAAGUCAGGGGUGAAAUCCUGGAGCUCAACUCCAGAACUGCCUUUGAUACUGAGGAUCUUGAGUUCGGGAGGAGGUGAGUGGAACUGCGAGUGUAGAGGUGAAAUUCGUAGAUAUUCGCAAGAACACCAGUGGCGAAGGCGGACUCACUGGCCCGAUACUGACGCUGAGGCACGAAAGC
rnacentral:rRNA from 1 species